rnacentral:lncRNA from 10 species
CACAGUAAAUCUUGCUGCUGCUCACUCUCUGGGUCUGCACUACCUUUAUGAGCUGUAACACUGUGAAGGUCUGCAGCUUCACUCCUGAAGCCAGCGAGACCAUGAACCCACCGGGAGGAACAAACAACUCCUGACGCGCCACCUUUAAGAGCCCUAACACUCACUGCAAAGGUCUGCAGCUUCGCUCCUGAAGUCAGAAAGACCACGAACCCACCGGGAGGAACAAACAACUCUGGACGCACCACCUUUAAGAGCUGUAACACUCACUGCGAAGGUCUGCGGCUUCACUCCUGAAGUCAAGCAAGACCACAAACCCACCGGAAGGAAAAAACUCCAGACACAUCUGAACAUCUGAAGGAACAAACUCCAGACAUACCAUCUGUAAGAACUGUAACACUUACCGCGAGGGUCCGCGGCUUCAUUCUUGAAGUCAGCCAGACCAAGAACCCACCGGGAGGAACCAAUUCCGGACACAGUAUGGUUGGUCCACAAGAGAGGUGAAAUUUGGAUGCAGAGACAAGCAUGCAGGGAGAACGUCAUGUGAAGAUUUGAGUUAUGCUGCCAAAAGACAAGGACCUACCAGAAGCUGGAAGAGAAGCCUGGAACAGAUCCUUCCCCAGAGACUUCAGAGGGAACAGGACCCUCCCAGCACAUUGAUCUUGGACGUGUAGUCUCCAGAACUAUGAGACAAUAAA